rnacentral:rRNA from 1 species
AGUGAACGCUGGCGGUAGGCCUAACACAUGCAAGUCGAACGGCAGCACAGUAAGAGCUUGCUCUUACGGGUGGCGAGUGGCGGACGGGUGAGGAAUACAUCGGAAUCUACUUUUUCGUGGGGGAUAACGUAGGGAAACUUACGCUAAUACCGCAUACGACCUACGGGUGAAAGCAGGGGAUCUUCGGACCUUGCGCGAUUGAAUGAGCCGAUGUCGGAUUAGCUAGUUGGCGGGGUAAAGGCCCACCAAGGCGACGAUCCGUAGCUGGUCUGAGAGGAUGAUCAGCGUCACUGGGAUUGAGACGCGGUCCAGACUCCUACGGGAGGAAGCAGUGGGGAAUAUUGGACAAUGGGCGCAAGCCUGAUCCAGCCAUACCGCGUGGGUGAAGAAGGCCUUCGGGUUGUAAAGCCCUUUUGUUGGGAAAGAAAAGCAGCAGGUUAAUACCCCGCUGUUCUGACGGUACCCAAAGAAUAAGCACCGGCUAACUUCGUG